GAUGGACCCGCGGUGCAUUAGCUAGUUGGUGAGGUAACGGCUCACCAAGGCAACGAUGCAUAGCCGACCUGAGAGGGUGAUCGGCCACAUUGGGACUGAGACACGGCCCAAACUCCUACGGGAGGCAGCAGUAGGGAAUCUUCGGCAAUGGACGAAAGUCUGACCGAGCAACGCCGCGUGAGUGAAGAAGGUUUUCGGAUCGUAAAACUCUGUUGUUAGAGAAGAACAAGGAUGAGAGUAAAAUGUUCAUCCCUUGACGGUAUCUAACCAGAAAGCCACGGCUAACUACGUGCCAGCAGCCGCGGUAAUACGUAGGUGGCAAGCGUUGUCCGGAUUUAUUGGGCGUAAAGCGAGCGCAGGCGGUUUCUUAAGUCUGAUGUGAAAGCCCCCGGCUCAACCGGGGAGGGUCAUUGGAAACUGGGAAACUUGAGUGCAGAAGAGGAGAGUGGAAUUCCAUGUGUAGCGGUGAAAUGCGUAGAUAUAUGGAGGAACACCAGUGGCGAAGGCGGCUCUCUGGUCCGUAACUGACGCUGAGGCUCGAAAGCGUGGGGAGCAAACAGGAUUAGAUACCCUGGUAGUCCACGCC
rnacentral:rRNA from 1 species